CAAGAAAGCAAUUACUAGGUAUUAUCAUAUUCCCUUAUCUGGAUGUUCAGAUAGCUAGGGAGAAUAUUCUCAGUAUUAGCAUAGUUUAGAAUUACUUGUUUUUUUGUUUUUAGGCUUUGCAAUCUCAUGAAGUUAUAGACUGACAGUAACUUAGAAUCAUUACAGUAGUUUAGUACUUUAAAAUACUGAAUUUUUUAAGUUACUUAGACUUCGACUAGAUCAGGUAUUAUUCUACUCAUUACAAAAAUAUAUCUGGGAAAUACGUUGGAUGGACUAGUCUGAAGGCUCACUGUCAGUACUUAUAACCUGAAAUGGCUCUGCAGGAAGUUGCAGAAUAUUGGUUGACGGGAAAGUCCAGUCCUUCUAUAAUAAGUGGGUGGAGGGAAUGUUUAAAUUGUGGAAAACCGCUUAGGACUUUUCAGUCACUGUGUUUUUGCACAUGUGAACGUACUUACUAUUCAGCGGCUACCAACUAACCUAGUCUGUAGCCGCCCAUGCUGGUCUUGAGGGCCAUGAAGAACUGAACCAUGAGGCCAUCUAAUUACAGUUUAUAGACACCCAAAGAUGCCCCUGUCAAACAUACAACAGCAGAGAAGUCCUGAGGUUGACGUGUGAGCAGGAGC
rnacentral:lncRNA from 1 species